CCCCUAGAUGUUCUGGGCCUCACGCGCGCUACACUGAACAGUUCAACAAGUCUUAACCUUGGCCGAUAGGUCUGGGUAAUCUUUGAACGCUGUUCGUGAUUGGGAUAGACCUUUGCAAUUAUGGGUCUUCAACGAGGAAUUCCUAGUAAACGCAAGUCAUCAGCUUGCAUUGAUUACGUCCCUGCCCUUUGUACACACCGCCCGUCGCACCUACCGAUUGAAUGGUCCGGUGAAAUCUCGGGACGGCGGCUUGGUCGCUUGCGUCCGACUGCUGAAACUUGAUUAAACCAUAUCAUUUAGAGGAAGGUGAAGUCGUAACA
rnacentral:rRNA from 1 species